GUCAUAAUUUUCCCCAUCCGUCUAUAAAACAACGGCAUUCUCUCCUCCUUCAACGGCAUCAUAGCUAUCCUUGGGUUGGACGAAUUAUCCGAAGAAGAUCGUUUAACUGUAGCACAAGAGCACGAAAAAUUGAGCGUUUCUUAUCACAACCCUUCUUCGUAGCAGAAGUAUUUACGGGUUCUCCAGUGAAAUAUGUUGGUCUCGCAGAAACAAUUAGGGGGUUCAGCCAAUAUAUUCCCGAAAAGUCGAAAACUAAGGUGUGCUGAGGUUUUCUUCUUACAUGGUGUUGAGUGUUGACUGUUGAGAAGAUGUGGUGAGGUUUUCGUCUUACAAGGUGUUGACCGUUGAGGAGAGGUGGUGAGGAUUUUUUCUCACAAGGUGUUGAAGAGGGAGAGGUGGUGAGGUUUUUUUCUCACAAGGUGUUGAGGAGGGAGAGGUGGUGAGGUUUAAUUCUCACAAGGUGUUGAGGAGGGAGAGGUGGUGAGGUUCUUUUCUCACAAGGUGUUGAGGACGGAGAGGUGGUGAGGUUUAAUUCUCACAAGGUGGUGUUGAGGAGGGAGAGGUGGUGAGGUUUUCUUCUUACAAGGUGUAAGUUUUAAGGGGAGCAGCUUGCUUGCUUGCUGAUUGGCAUCUUCAGGAGGCCGAAAUUCCAGCUUUUUCUUCUCUUAAAGCUUGGAGUUGGAGGGAGAUUCUCUUCACCGGCGGAUCCUCGGAGAGAUUAAAGAUUAUUGUAGCGAGUCUUAGCUCGCAGGACUUGGUGAACCCAACUCUGUAGCUCGGAGCCAGGUAGGCUCUCGCACUGAGUAUUCCGUAUUUCUGGCA